UACGUAGGGGGCUAGCGUUGUCCGGAAUCAUUGGGCGUAAAGAGCGCGUAGGCGGUUGGAUAAGUCCGGUGUGAAAGUCACAGGCUCAACCUGUGAAUGCCGCUGGAAACUGUCCGGCUUGAGUCCGGGAGGGGCGAGUGGAAUUCCUGGUGUAGCGGUGAAAUGCGCAGAUAUCAGGAGGAACACCAAUGGCGAAGGCAGCUCGCUGGAACGGUACUGACGCUGAGGCGCGAAAGCGUGGGGAGCGAACAGG
rnacentral:rRNA from 1 species